GACGAACCGGUGCGAACGUUGUUCGGAAUCACUGGGCUUAAAGGGCGCGUAGGCGGGCGGUCAAGUCUGUGGUGAAAUCCUUCGGCUCAACCGGAGAAUAGCUGGAGAUACUGGCCGUCUCGAGGGGGUAGGGGCAUGUGGAACUUCCGGUGGAGCGGUGAAAUGCGUAGAUAUCGGAAAGAACACCAACGGCGAAAGCACUCUGCUGGGCCGACACUGACACUGAGAGACGAAAGCUAGGGGAGCGAAUGGG
rnacentral:rRNA from 1 species